AUCGAGAUCAAACAAACGCCAUC
rnacentral:siRNA from 1 species